GGCUCAGGAUGAACGCUAGCGACAGGCCUAACACAUGCAAGUCGAGGGGCAGCACAAGGAGCAAUCUGAGGUGGCGACCGGCGCACGGGUGAGUAACACGUAUGCAACCUGCCUGUAAGCGGGGAAUAACCCGUUGAAAGACGGACUAAUACCGCAUAAUACUAAAUUACUGCAUGGUAAUUUAUUUAAACAUUUAUGGCUUACAGAUGGGCAUGCGCAUGAUUAGCUAGUUGGAGAGGUAACGACUCCCCAAGGCAACGAUCAUUAGGGGUUCUGAGAGGAAGGUCCCCCCACACUGGUACUGAGACACGGACCAGACUCCUACGGGAGGCAGCAGUGAGGAAUAUUGGUCAAUGGACGAGAGUCUGAACCAGCCAAGUCGCGUGCAGGAAGAAUUGUCCUAUGGAUUGUAAACUGCUUUUGCAGGGGAAUAAAGUGCAUCACGUGUGAUGUUUUGUAUGUACUCUGCGAAUAAGGAUCGGCUAACUCCGUGCCAGCCGCGGC
rnacentral:rRNA from 1 species